rnacentral:rRNA from 1 species
GACGGAGGAUGCAAGUGUUAUCCGGAAUCACUGGGCGUAAAGCGUCUGUAGGUGGUUUAAAAAGUCCACUGUUAAAAAUUGAAGCUUAACUUCAAGGGUGCCGUGGAAACUUUUAAACUUGAGUAUGGUAGGGGUAGAGGGAAUUUCCAGUGGAGCGGUGAAAUGCGUAGAUAUUGGAAAGACCACCAAUGGCGAAGGCACUCUACUGGGCCAUUACUGACACUGAGAGACGAAAGCUAGGGGAGCAAAUGGG